rnacentral:lncRNA from 1 species
CUCUUUGAGUGCUUAGUGAAAGCCAGCGGAUGAUUCUCUCCUGUCAAGAUAAAUGGACUGUUAAAGAAUUGAGAAAGGUGUUCCUCUGCCUGCAGGAAGUCACAGGGAGGAGACUCCAGCACGGUCUUUGGAGAUCAGAAGGGAACCACAGCAUGCAUGCUGACUGCAGGGAGAACAGCGGGAGCAUCACGGGCUCUCUGCAGCUGAGGGGUUUGAAUCCCAGCUCAGCCCUUCAUCCUUCUGACAGAGUACUACUCAGUUGAGUAUUUUCAGAUAAAAGGAUUGCUGGAAAAAGCUGUUCUGACCAGGGUCUGCCUGCUCUAGGUGAGGCCAUGGCAUUUGGUAA